rnacentral:rRNA from 1 species
AACCAGCACCUCAAGUGGUCAGGAUGAUUAUUGGGCCUAAAGCAUCCGUAGCCGGCUCUGUAAGUUUUCGGUUAAAUCUGUACGCUCAACGUACAGGCUGCCGGGAAUACUGCAGAGCUAGGGAGUGGGAGAGGUAGACGGUACUCGGUAGGAAGGGGUAAAAUCCUUUGAUCUAUUGAUGACCACCUGUGGCGAAGGCGACUGGCUGGGCCAAUUUUGACGCUGAGAUACGAAAGCGUGGGGAGCAAACAGG